rnacentral:rRNA from 1 species
GGUCGGAAACCCCGGUUUCUAGACGAAAAAGAGGGCGCCGCAAGGGGCUCUCACCACGAGAUGAGUCCGCGGCCAUCAGCUAGUUGGCGGUGUAAUAGACCACCAAGGCUAAGGACGGGUAGCUGGUCUGAGAGGAUGACCAGCCACACUGGGACUGAGACACGGCCAGACUCCUACGGGAGGCAGCAGUGGGGAAUAUUGGACAAUGGGCGAAAGCCUGAUCCAGCCAUGCCGCGUGAGUGAUGAAGGUCUUCGGAUCGUAAAGCUCUGUGGGAAGGGACGAAAAAGCCUAACCUAAUACGUUAGGUCUUGACGGUACCUUCUUAGCAAGCACCGGCUAACUCCGUGCCAGCAGCCGCGGUAAUACGGAGGGUGCAAACGUUGCUCGGAAUUAUUGGGCGUAAAGCGCACGUAGGCGGUCCGCUAAGUCGGAUGUGAAAAGCCCUCGGCUUAACCGAGGAAGUGCAUCCGAAAACUGACGGGCUAGAGUACGGAAGAGGGUUUCGGAAUUCCCGGUGUAGAGGUGAAAUUCGUAGAUAUCGGGAG